GUCUGUAGCCAUGCCACUCUGAACAAGCCUGAUCAUGUCUGAUCUUAGAAGCUAAGCAGGGUUGGGCCUGGUUAGUACUUGGUUGGGAGACCACCUAGGAAGACCAGGUGCUGUCGCAU
rnacentral:rRNA from 1 species